CCUCGGUUCACUUAAAUUCCGGAUGAAUACCAGUGUUAUAGAUACAAAAAUGGCACCGAGAAUUAAGAUGAUUUUAAUGGCUGGAAAGGUAAUUGUUAAUAUGACUGACUUAGGUUUGAAAGCACAGGAGAAAAUGUGUAACCUCAUAGCAACUAUAACUGAUGAAGGGUGGGCUAGUACCAGCAAAGGACGCAGACGA